UUUCUUCUUUUAUUUUUCAAGAAAAAAACAAAACACCCUCUCCCCCUUUAUUUCUCAACUCUCUGCUAGGGUUAUGAACCCUAGCCGUCGCGCCGUCAGCCCGUCGAUCGAGAGGAAGAAAGUCUCUCCUCUCUUCCUUUUGGGUCUGAUUUCAACAACGGACAGAGUCUCCGGCAACACAAUCACAGGGAUUUCGGGUGGUUGUCAGAGACGUCAGAUGUGUGCGACAAAGCGGUGCGCGUGGUGGUCGAGGGUAGCGUGCGGCGCUGGUCAAGGGCAGAGGGGCAUGCGGCGGCUGCACCUUGGGGACUAGGGUUUUGUCUGCUGAAAAAAAAGUUUAAGAUAGUGGGCUAGGGUUUGAUGUAAUGGGUCAUUUGGUUUUGGGUUUGGGCAUGCUGUUUGUUUUUUGUAAAAUGGACUUUAUUUGGUUAUUUGGAUUUUAUUUUUUUGUUUAUUUGCCUGGGCCAAAAAUUGGCCAUUACAAUGUGAAUUUAGGAUUGAUAGUUUAACUCAUCUAGCGGAGAAUGAAUCUUUAUGACUUGUUAGAGAGAUAUACAAAUCCUUUUUUAUGUAAA